CGGGGCGUAGCGCAGCUUGGUAGCGCACUUGUCUGGGGGGCAAGUGGUCGCAGGUUCAAAUCCUGUCGUCCCGACCA
rnacentral:tRNA from 2 species